rnacentral:rRNA from 1 species
GUGGGGAAUUUUGGACAAUGGGCGCAAGCCUGAUCCAGCAAUGCCGCGUGCAGGAAGAAGGCCUUCGGGUUGUAAACUGCUUUUGUACGGAACGAAACGGUCCGGGUUAAUACCCUGGGCUAAUGACGGUACCGUAAGAAUAAGCACCGACUAACUACGUGCCAGCAGCCGCGGUAAUACGUAGGGUGCAAGCGUUAAUCGGAAUUACUGGGCGUAAAGCGUGCGCAGGCGGUUUUGUAAGACAGGCGUGAAAUCCCCGGGCUCAACCUGGGAAUUGCGCUUGUGACUGCAAGGCUGGAGUGCGGCAGAGGGGGAUGGAAUUCCGCGUGUAGCAGUGAAAUGCGUAGAUAUGCGGAGGAACACCGAUGGCGAAGGCAAUCCCCUGGGCCUGCACUGACGCUCAUGCACGAAAGCGUGGGGAGCAAACAGGAUUAGAUACCCGAGUAGUCC